rnacentral:rRNA from 1 species
AGGGAAUCUUCCACAAUGGACGCAAGUCUGAUGGAGCAACGCCGCGUGAGUGAAGAAGGCUUUCGGGUCGUAAAACUCUGUUAUUGAAGAAGAACGUGUGUGACAGUAACUGGUCAUGCAGUGACGGUAUUCAAUCAGAAAGUCACGGCUAACUACGUGCCAGCAGCCGCGGUAAUACGUAGGUGGCAAGCGUUGUCCGGAUUUAUUGGGCGUAAAGCGAGUGCAGGCGGUCUUUUAAGUCUGAUGUGAAAGCCUUCGGCUUAACCGAAGAAGGGCAUCGGAAACUGGGAGACUUGAGUG